rnacentral:rRNA from 1 species
UACAGAGGGUGCAAGCGUUGUUCGGAAUUAUUGGGCGUAAAGAGCGUGUAGGCGGCCAUGUAGGUCCGGUGUGAAAACUCGAGGCUUAACCUCGAGAUGUCAUCGGAAACCAUUUGGCUAGAGUCCGGAAGAGGAGAGUGGAAUUCCUGGUGUAGCGGUGAAAUGCGCAGAUAUCAGGAAGAACACCAAUGGCGAAAGCAGCUCUCUGGGACGGUACUGACGCUGAGACGCGAAAGCGUGGGGAGCGAACAGG